rnacentral:rRNA from 1 species
UUGGAUAAUUGCGUCUCGGGUAACGGUCAAAGACAAAAAUGGAACAAAAUCCCAAAGCUUCUUUUCUUUUUGGUUUGUCUCAGGUUAACUGGACCUUGAAGUGCCUUGGGUAAAAACCUUCCUUUCUUCGGGUCUUCUGAACUUCACGUGCAUUCCCUUCGGAGUUCCUCCGGUGCUCCAUCCCCCCGCGCGGGUGGGGGACCCGUGAGGGAGGUGGGAGCACCCGGGGAGUACCGGGGGGAUUGUAUGAAGAAGGCGGAUAUAUAGAGGUAUAUGGGAUUUUUGUAGGCUCUCGUGUUAUCUAGCCCUCAAUGCGGCGGUCUUCGGAGGCAUCGGUGGCUUUUGGUUAGAUCUGGGCAAGGCCGUGGGACGGCCUGCCCCCUUAGGGAGAGGCCACCGGUAGAAGUAGUAGGACCACGAGAGGUACUGCUCCUCCCUCAUCAAGAGGGAGCCCCGACUCCCAUACAUGGUCAUCGAUACACAAACUAGAGAGAGAGAGAGAGAGAGAG